UCCCUGCUGGUCCAGUGGCUAAGACUUUAUAUUUCAAAUGCAGGGGGCCCAGGUUCAAUCCCUGGUCAGGGAA
rnacentral:tRNA from 1 species